GGUUUGGUCCUUUGUACACACCAUCGUUUAAGUAGCCUACUGACAAAUCAGCUGAGAAGGGUCUGGCUGCAGACGUGCACUCUCAGACACACGCAUGCGCACGGUUUUAAGUGCACGCACAGGCCACUCAACAUGAUACAGGAUUUAACGGUCGCACAGAAAUUAUUAUUAUCCCACACACACAGGCCCUUCAAGGUCAGCACGUGUUUUAAAAUGGUAUCGUAACAUACAACGACCGCCAAGGAAUCAAUAUGCAUCAAUCAGUAGUCUUAGCAGGUGUAAAGCACCUGAUACCAAAGUGCACAUCUUGUUGCACAUUGUAUCAUUGCCCCUUGUGCCCUUCACUGAAGCCAAUGAUUAAAAAGAAGAGUUCAGGCUCACUGGGAAGUCCAUUUAAAAAAAUUCAAUCAUUUUCCAAGCUGGACAUGGCAGAGCUGAGGAAAUGGUGGUGUCAUGUUAAUGGAGAACUUAGGACUGGAACGACAUGGAAAAUUGUUUGCCCACUAUGCUGAGGAGUCAAAAGCCUUCCUGAGAGGUGAUCAGCAGCCUGUAUUUGGGUUGCAAAAAAUGAGGUUUGAAGAAAUCUCUCAGGAAGAGCCUUUCCACAUACAGGUAGAUGAAACCAAUCUUUUCACCCUUGAGUUUGCACCGGAGAAGCAGGUGGUUUAGUCUCCACAAAAAAUGCGUGUCAUGACGGAUCUUGACUGCCAGUCAGUGGUGCAUAGAGUACUCUGGGGAUCUUCUCGGAUCAGUUCAGCUUCCUCGUGCAUGGAGGAUGAAGAAGCUGCUGAGGCCUUGGAACGGUUCUUCUGUGCAGAGUUCAUCAAGGACGAUCUUGUAGAGCCACUGAUAUUUGUUUUUAAAUUUACGCAGGACAUGCAUACAUUUUUAGAGAAUGUGGUGGAUAACAUGCAUCUGAGAAUCUUUUGUCGAACACAAAAUUGAAAAAUAUUGUUCGUUUUUUUUGUCUUAUGUAAUGAUUUUAUAUUUUAAUAGUAUAGUCAGUAAUAUUUCAUUUAUUUUAUCUAUGCAUUCAAAUUGUUCAACAACAGCAACUGUAAGUAACCCACAAUUACUGCAACUGUAAAUUACCCACUCACAAUGCCAUGUUUUUGUUUUAUUAUUUACUAAAGUCAACAAUCACCAACUGCUGUGUGUUGAAUUAUUUUCUGGUGUGUCAGUUUUGGAAAACAUAUUAACAUUGAAUGUGACUAGCAGACUUUGACUUGUUAGUCGAUGAUUUAAUAAUUCAUUAUGGAAUGUUAAAUACACAUAAAUUUCUCAU